GACGAACGCUGGCGGCGUGCCUAAUACAUGCAAGUCGAGCGGACGGAUGGGAGCUUGCUCCCAGACCGUCAGCGGCGGACGGGUGAGUAACCCGUGGGCAACCUGCCUGUAAGACUGGGAUAACUCCGGGAAACCGGGGCUAAUACCGGAUAACUCUUUCCCUCACAUGAGGGAAAGCUGAAAGAUGGCAUCUCGCUAUCACUUACAGCUGGGCACGCGGCGCAUUAGCUAGUUGGUGAGGUAACGGCCCACCAAGGCGGCGAUGCGUAGCCGACCUGAGGGGGAGAUCGGCCACCCUGGGACUGAGACACGGCCCAGACUCCGACGGGAGGCAGCAGUAGGGACUCUUCCGCAAUGGACGAAAGUCUGACGGAGCAACGCCGCGUGAGUGAUGAAGGUGUUCGGAUCGGAAAACUCUGUUGUCAGGGAAGAACAAGUACCGGAGUAACUGCCGGUACCUUGACGGUACCUGACCAGAAAGCCACGGCUAACUACGUG
rnacentral:rRNA from 1 species